AUUGAACGCUGGCGGCAGGCCUAACACAUGCAAGUCGAACGAGUGGCGGACGAGGGAGUAAUGUCUGGAAAACUGCCCGAUGGAGGGGGAUAACUACUGGAAACGGUGGCUAAGACCGCAUACCAUCGGAUGUGCCCAGAUGGGAUUAGCUAGUAGGGGGGGUAACGGCUCACCUAGGCGACGAUCCCUAGCUGGUCUGAGAGGAUGACCAGCCACACUGUGACUGAGACACGGUCCAGACUCCUACGCGAGGCAGCAGUGGGGAAUAUUGCACAAUGGGCGCAAGCCUGAUGCAGCCAUGCCGCGUGUAUGAAGAAGGCCUUCGGGUUGUAAAGUACUCUCAGCGGGGAGGCGGUACCCGGAGAAGAAGCACCGGCUAACUCCGUGCCAGCAGCCGCGGUAAUUC
rnacentral:rRNA from 1 species